UCCCGCUCGCCGCGCGCACGCCACUGCCGCCCGAUGACCGCCGCGCGCCGCCACCCCCACCCUCGCCGUCGCCCGGGCCUCGUGGCACGGCCCAGCCUGGAAUAUCGUGAUGGAGCGGUGCCCGCGUGUGCUCGGGUGGCUGCUCACCGAGGGACUCGCGGGGAGCUGGCCGCCGGCACCGACGAGGACAGCCGAGCGGUGCAGCGGGAGCCCGCGGCUUGGACCAUCGCGAUGGAGCGGUGCCAAGGUCACCUCCACCGGUGAGCGCGCUAGCUGCCGAGCCCGAAGACUGGGGCAGGAUCCGGGACGCCGAUUCCCCUAUCCUCGGCGGCGGGCAGUUGUACUGGUGCCGGGAUCUGCAAAUCUGCAAUGCUGAUGACAGUCAUCGCCGGCAAUGUUGCUGAAUACUAAGGAGUAGGAGUCAAGAGAAAUAUUUCAGUGCUAAGCUGGGAAGUGCUGAAAGUCAUCAGAAUCAGAGGAAGCUUGCCGGGAUGAGCAGAAAACGCUCAGCUGUCUCGCACGCUUUUAAGGCGUUGCUACAAAGCCGGCCAUGAGCAGCAUGGUCAACCGGCCAGACCGGCAGGUACGAGGAGCCGGGCAGCUAAGAAGCGAUAACAGAGAGCCCCUCGUUCGAGCCGGACGUCGCAGCUUUGUCUCCGUGUGUGGUUUGGUGAGAUUCUUUUGGUCAAGAUAGAAAGAGAUGUGGCCUUGCGUUCGUUUCAAGUUGCUGUGGCGCUACGGCUGUGAACUGCAUGAUGAGACGGGCUCGGAAAUCUGAUUCAUUCAAACUAGAUGUUCAUGUUCAGAAAUAUUUGGGUCCUUGUUCAAUUUUA